AUGAAGUUCUGUUUCCUUUUGAUUGCAAAUAUAGGUGCUAUCAUGGCAGCAAGCACAGGGGCUUCAGGAUGGCUAAGGGGCAAGGUGAAGGCUGUGACAUCUGGAGACUGCCUUCUCAUCAUGGGGAGCACAAAGGCAGAGAUUCCACCAGAGAAGUCCAUCACUCUGUCAUACCUUAUGGCCCCAAGGCUGGCUCGUCGUGGUGGAGUGGAUGAGCCAUUUGCUUGGGAAAGCAGGGAGUAUCUGAGGAAACUAUGCGUAGGAAAGGAGGUCACAUUUAGAGUGGAUUACACUGCUCCUAACAUCGGACGAGUAUUUGGCACUGUCUACCUUGGCGACAAGAACGUUGCCUACUUGGUGGUUGCUGCAGGAUGGGCAAGGGAACCUGGUGCUGCCGAAGAUUCGAUAAAAGAUCUUCCACCUUCAGCAAUUGGCGAACUAAGUGGUUUUGAUGCAAAGGGUUUUGCAGUUGCAAAUAAAGGCAAGAGUCUGGAAGCCACUCGUGUUUACUUGCUUCCAAGCUCCGUCCAUGGGGAGACGUCCUGUGAUGCCUGUGAUGCCUGUAAUGGAUCGGUGCCGGAUCCUGGAAGCGAUCAGCGGAGGGUCCUGCACGGGACCAGCGCCGGAUCUAAUGGAUGUGCGAGUUACGCGCCGGCGGUUUUGAUGUGCCAGGGCGGCAGUGCAUGGAUGGAUGGGUGGCGGUGA
rnacentral:rRNA from 1 species